UCUUGGUGUAGAGAGAUGAAUUUUAAAGCCAGCAAGAAAGAAGGCAACUAUUGGAUUCUAAGAGGGAGAUCACGGAUGGAGGAUGUCAUUUUCCUUGGUGAAUCUUGGAAGAAAUCUCACAUUUUUGGUGGAGCACCUAUGGCUAAAAUCCACAAACUAGAAGAUGAAGGCAUAAUUCCAUCUCAGAACACCUCAGAGCUGAGACUCCAGGCUUUAAACAAGCUCCUGCUCAGGUGCUACUGAAAUCACCUCCAUCAACUUUAAAAUUUGUGCUUGUAGCAAGAGGAAGGGAUUCGAUAAACUG